UACGUAGGUGGCAAGCGUUGUCCGGAAUUAUUGGGCGUAAAGCGCGCGCAGGCGGUCCUUUAAGUCUGAUGUGAAAGCCCACGGCUCAACCGUGGAGGGUCAUUGGAAACUGGGGGACUUGAGUACAGAAGAGAAGAGUGGAAUUCCACGUGUAGCGGUGAAAUGCGUAGAGAUGUGGAGGAACACCAGUGGCGAAGGCGACUCUUUGGUCUGUAACUGACGCUGAGGCGCGAAAGCGUGGAGAGCAAACAGG
rnacentral:rRNA from 1 species